GGAAUUCGUUUUCUUUAAAAUAAUGUAGCAUAAAAUGGCUGGGGGAGUGAAUGAAGCACAGUUUAAAGGAUGGCAAAAAUAUUUCAACACCUCUACAACUCGAGGAAGAGUUAAUAUAACCUUUGCAGCAUAUGGUGCAUUAGCUAUAUUGAGUCAUGGUGUUUACACAUGGACAAAACCUAAGAAGAAGCUAGCAGUAACUAAAACUGUAUAAUAAAAUUUAUUUUAUUGAAUAUUAAGAAAUAAAUUUAUGUCUAUUUUCAA
rnacentral:lncRNA from 1 species